ensembl:lncRNA extensin-like
AUGAAGCGGGGCACGCUGAAUUUCUUGGGUCGAAAGGAGCAGUCUCUUUACGCCAAUAAUGUCAAAAUCAAGGACGUGGACCAUGUGCCGUGGGUGCUGGACACGCCGGUGAUCCCGGACUCGGGGACGGCCAGCGUGCGGGCCCGGCCCACCGUCAAGCAUCAUGCAUCCUCGGACACCUUUCAGGGCUUCGCUGUCCCGACGCCCAAAGUCCCCCUUCUCCCACCCGUCAGCGCGCCGAAGGUCAACGGCUCAGUCGGUGGGGCUCAUUGGUCCAAUGGAUCAGUGUCUGUGCCUGACACGGUGGAGGGGGACAUAUUUAUUCCUCCUCCUCCCUCCACGGCACCUCCACCCCCCCCAGAGGCUUUUAUCCUUCCUCCGCCAGACUUCAUGGGAGACCUGAACGCCAAAGCAGACCUGGGAACACCCCCGAUUCCUUCCGUACCCGCCCCAAAGCCCGCAGCCCUGCCUCCAUCCAUGGAGACGGAUCUAGCUUCCCUACAGCCCCCGACAAUGGCCCCACCGAAGCCUCCAUCUGCCAGCUCAGCCGCGCCCAUUUCCUCCUCGGCCCAAGCUGCAGUUCCUGACCACCCCAAAUUUGCCCCACCGCAGCCACCCGAAAAGCAACUAAGGACUCACAAGACCCCGCCUCCGAAGCCCAUUAGAAUGUCCUCCAUCCCCAUCCUUGACUCCCCACCACAUACCCCUGCACCAACUCCUCCUGCGCAGACGCCCGCAGUCUCCAGCUUUAAUCCACAGAACAAACCCAAAGUUUAUAACGCCCCUCCGCCCUCGUUUUUUAAAGCGUAUGAGGAGACUGACACAAAACCCAAGAAGAUGCUACUUCUGGAGGACUCUGGGUCUGUUAAUACUCCCCCAGUGCUUGUCCCGGUGGAUGGGAAAGUCCCUAAAGUAGCUGCACCACCGAAUCCAGUUUCCAAAGAUGUGGCGGAGCUGAAGGAGAACUUACAAAUUCCUCAGCCCUCUCAAACACCUCCGUCUAAGCCGAACAAGGAGCCCACAGUGGCGACAGUUUCAGCACAGCAGGAAGCUGUCAAACCGCUGCCGACUGUGCCGCAGAAAACAGUGAUCCAGGAGGUGAGCAGCAAGAGUUUAGAGCCCAGCAGGGACAGGUUGGAAGCACCUCAGAGCAAAAGGCGCGACAUCAGUCCGUUAUUGGAUCGCAAACUGCACAACCUGAAGGCCAGUGAGACCAACAGGCUGCGAGAGGGACACGCGGCGUCCCCACUGGCUCUUUUAAUGGCAGCUAAAGAAAGGGAGAAACAGAAACUGAAACACACGGCGCCGAAGGAAAACGCUGCCAAAGACCUCGAGCAGCAGAGCGCCAACAUUCAGCCCAGCAAUUCCAGCCCCAACUCCUUCGUUGUCACCCCAAAGUCCAGCUCGGCCUCCUCUCCUACAGCCCAAGAAAGAACGCAGGAGAGCUCGACGUCGGCCGGCCGUGUAGAACAAACACCACCAGUUCAGACGUCUACGUUAUCUUCUCCGCAGAUCAGAAGUCAGGCCGUGUCCACCACACCAGCUGCUGGGCUUCUGAAGGCAACCAACCCAGUGGAGGGCCAGAGCCCCUUGAAGUCUCCACUGGCAAGACCUACGGACCCCAGUGAGGGGCUGAGCCUCCCGUUCCUCCCUCCUCCACCGGAGUUUGGGGAUUUAGAUGACUUUAUGCAGCCGCCGCCUGCUGUUCGUCCACCGGACCCCCCCGUAAAAAAGCCAACGCCACCAGUGAGCGUUCCUCCUCCAGCUCCAGUUACAAAAGCACCUGAGCGUGUUUCUCCUCCAGCACCACCUGCCAUUGUUCCUCCCCCACCCCCAAAACCGCCUGCGAGUGUUCCUCCCCCUCCUCCUCCUCCUCCAGUUCCAACAGCCACCAUCAACCCUCUUCCUCCAGCUCCUACACCUAAACCCACAGCAUCUGUAAAACUCCCAGCUCCAGACAACGAUGUCAAAAUAAAGAAUCAGGAACAGACAAAAGCUCAAGGGGCUCCCACGCAGCUACCGUCUACUCUUUCAGCCAGUCAAGCCACACUUCUUAGCAUCUUACAGAAGAAGAUGUUGGAAAUGGAUCACAGAAUGGACCCAAUGAAGGAGACAGAGGCCGGUGGUGAUGACUGGAAUAGCCCCCUGUCUGACGAGGAGACGAAGGUCCCCGUCGUCCCCAAAGCUGCACCGCAGAGCAACGCUCCCUCUGUGGCCAACAAACCAGCAACUCUGAACAUGCAGGAGCUCAAGAGCAAAGUUGCCAAAAAGAAACAGCCAACAUCGCCGUUGAACACUCCCACAAGUAACGGACCAUCAAAGUAUCCGUAUGGUAUGACUUUCACCAUCCGGCCUGGAACCAAACAGCCCAUAACUCCCUUUAUUAAAGGGGAAUCAAAUUAA